CCAAUACAUGGACUUACGCCUGACUCCUAACCACAACACAAACAAGGAAACAGAAUGUCAAUACAUGAACUUACAUCCAACUCCAAACAAGCAACACACAAACAGGAAACAGAAUGCCAAUACAUGGACUUAUAUCCGACUCCUAACAACAAAAAACAAAAGGAAACAGAAUGCCAAUACAUGGACUUACAUCCAACUCCAAACAAAC
rnacentral:lncRNA from 1 species